GGGCAUUUGGGUUGAGGAAUUCAGGAGGAAGGGUCACAAAGUACAGUAUGUUAAUGAUGAAAGAUUUUACAAUGCCGGUUGUGAUUCAGGAUAUGUUCUUGCUCAUUAUCAGAAUCCGAGGAUGGUACUAUGUCUGUGGGAGAAACUGCAGAAAGAGCACGAACCAAACUGCUGCGAGUGAUCGUGCUGUAAUCCUGAACGUUGCAAAUCGACUAGUGAGUACAAUCUUUUUGCAGAUACAAUGGUUCUGUUUGUUUGUUCUUUGACAAAGGUCAUCAAACUGCAACUGUAUAUUGUUUCAUUGGCAUUAUAUUGUUGUUAUUCAUGUAAUCUAUGUGCCUUCUUAUGUUGUCUUGGUAAGCUGAUGUU
rnacentral:misc_RNA from 1 species